rnacentral:rRNA from 1 species
UACGAAGGGGGCUAGCGUUGCUCGGAAUUACUGGGCGUAAAGCGCACGUAGGCGGCUUUCUAAGUCGGGGGUGAAAUCCUGGAGCUCAACUCCAGAACUGCCUUUGAUACUGAGGAUCUUGAGUUCGGGAGAGGUGAGUGGAACUGCGAGUGUAGAGGUGAAAUUCGUAGAUAUUCGCAAGAACACCAGUGGCGAAGGCGGCUCACUGGCCCGAUACUGACGCUGAGGUGCGAAAGCGUGGGGAGCAAACAGGG